UACGAAGGGGGCUAGCGUUGCUCGGAAUCACUGGGCGUAAAGGGUGCGUAGGCGGGUUUUUAAGUCAGGGGUGAAAUCCUGGAGCUCAACUCCAGAACUGCCUUUGAUACUGAGGAUCUUGAGUUCGGGAGAGGUGAGUGGAACUGCGAGUGUAGAGGUGAAAUUCGUAGAUAUUCGCAAGAACACCAGUGGCGAAGGCGGCUCACUGGCCCGAUACUGACGCUGAUGUGCGAAAGCGUGGGGAGCAAACAGG
rnacentral:rRNA from 1 species